rnacentral:rRNA from 1 species
CCUACGGGAGGCAGCAGUGGGGAAUUUUGGACAAUGGGCGCAAGCCUGAUCCAGCAAUGCCGCGUGAGUGAAGAAGGCCUUCGGGUUGUAAAGCUCUUUUGUCAGGGAAGAAACGGUGAGCUCUAAUACAGUUUGCUAAUGACGGUACCUGAAGAAUAAGCACCGGCUAACUACGUGCCAGCAGCCGCGGUAAUACGUAGGGUGCAAGCGUUAAUCGGAAUUACUGGGCGUAAAGCGUGCGCAGGCGGUUUUGUAAGUCUGUCGUGAAAUCCCCGGGCUCAACCUGGGAAUGGCGAUGGAGACUGCAAGGCUAGAGUUUGGCAGAGGGGGGUAGAAUUCCACGUGUAGCAGUGAAAUGCGUAGAUAUGUGGAGGAACACCGAUGGCGAAGGCGGCCCCCUGGGUCAAAACUGACGCUCAUGCACGAAAGCGUGGGGAGCAAACAGGAUUAGAUACCCUGGUAGUCCACGCCCUAAACGAUGUCUACUAGUUGUCGGGUCUUAAUUGACUUGGUAACGCAGCUAACGCGUGAAGUAGACCGCCUGGGGAGUACGGUCGCAAGAUUAAAACGUCAAAGGAAUUGACGG